GUUGUAAGCAAUGUUGUGCUUCCAAGAAUCGAUACAUACAAUGCUGAGCUACUUGGUCCCACACCAUUUUAUAAUAGGAGAAGGACUCAAGCAAUGCUGCUCCCUCAAUAGAAAGAGCACCAAAAGUUCCAGAAACAAGCAUUGGGCCCGCACCUGAACCAGAACCAUUGAAAAAAGUAAAAUUCUUUCAAGGACUGAAGAGCGUAACACGAGACAGUUCCAAGCUGGAAUGGAUCAGCGGUGACAGCAUUAACAGCUCACAUAAUAUUACAGAAAAAGGAAAUUAUUUUGUUUAUGUGCAGGUAACAUUCAAAGGCCAGUGCCUCAAUGAGGACUUAUUGUUGAAAACAACCUUGUGCAAGAAAGAAGUGAAAAUACUUGAUAAAGAACUGCUGGUAACCAGUGUAUCAGUUUGUGAAAAUGCGACUCACGGAAAGUGGACCAGAACUCUCUCCCAAGCAGCUAUCUUCUACUUUGAGAAAGGAGAUAAUAUACACAUCAACACCACAACAAUGGAAUAUGUUGAUUUUUAUCACAACUAUAAUAAUAUCUUUGGCAUUUAUAGAUUGUAACACUAGGGAACACAAAUGAAAAUUUGAUUCUAUUCUCGGUUUCUAUGUUAUUUAUAGUUGUACAGUUUCUCUUAUGCUAUUUAUCGCUCUUUGAAUGAUUCAAUAACCUUUCAGUUAUCUAUCUUGCUGUCUACCUCCCUAUUUAUCUAUUUAUGUAUCAAUGAAGUUUUUUUUGACUUUUCCAAUAAUUUCAUUUUUUUUUGUUCCACUGUUUGAUGAUAAUUCCACAAGCUAAGCAAAGUAUUAAUGUAUGCAGAUGAGCAGGAAACAAUAAUUCACAGAUGUGCAAUAGAUUUUCCUGUUAUGCACACCACCUACUGAUACUGAAUGGAGCACUGUACUUAUUUGUAAAUUGAACAGAAUUAAUCUCAGAGAAAACAACUCUUCCUAUUUAAUAAGAUUAACUUUUUUUAAAAAAAACUAUUCUAGAACUCUGAAUUUUCUUGUAGUUUCUCCGUAAUUUCCAAAACAAUUGAAUUGUGCAAAUUAUUAAAUGUGGCAAGCUUUUGUAACUCUGCAUUCUUUCAUCUGUUUGAGAAUUCAAUAUUGACAUAAUUUAUUUGCCUUGCAUGCCUGAUCAAAGAUUAUUUAUUUUCUGCAUUGGAUCCAAGUUUGCCUGAAAUCAACUGCAGAAUUAUUUCUCAAUAAGCCACCUGAAACAAUGUUCAUGAAAUACCUUUUUUCGAACAUCAAACUAUGCUUUCAACUGUCAAGUGAACUAACAAAUCCAACAUGGAAUGAAAUUUUCACACUUCAAUUUAAAGAGUGGGUUGAUUCCUGUCCUUCAGAAAUCAGGUUUAGCUGGGGCAGUUAUCAUCUUUAUGAAUGAUCUUACUCUUCAGACUGCCAAAGGUGCAGUGUGGCCUCCAACACAGUCACUGUUUCAAAUCAUGCUACUGUCCUUCAGGAAUUAGUUACUAACAUGACAGAAAUACAGGAUUUAAAACCAGACCUGAAAGUCACAAUGUAUUUCCAAAUUUAAAUGCUGAAAUUUUGCAAUUAAACUGCUCGAUCUUUGUUUGCAUGAUUUAUGAUAUCGCCAGAGAUAGUUGCUUGGAUUAUGGUCUUGUAAGAAUGUGUUGUUUAAUAAUGUAAUGCACAAUUCAUGGUUGGGGAAGCACAAUGUCAAUCUAAUAGGUUUAAUCAAAAAAACCUUACAUUUUGGUAGCACUCUUCACAUACAGACAAUCAUAAAAGUGUUUCACAGAGCACAGGCGAACGAGUCAUCAACGAAAGUGAUGAAAGCACAAAACCAUAAAACUUGGGCAUGAUUAAAAAAGUUGUCAUGAAUGGUUUCAAUCAGGAUAGAAAGUAACAAGGGAGGGAAUUUUAGAGUUUCAGGGCAUAGCGCUCAGGAAAGUGGGAUGGAGGAAGUGAGGAACAAAGAUUAAUUCUAAUGUUGGAAGUAUGGGUGUUCCUUGCAGAGCUGAAUAACUGGAGGAGAUAGUUUAAGGAGAUAGUUUAAGGAGGGUGGUGGUUUGUAAAUGGGGAAGAGCAGUACAUUAUGCAAACCUUGAUGGCAAUUUUCCUGACAUUGGCUCUGCAAUAUCCAGUUUCUGCUUUUGAACAACUAAGAUUUGAAGUUGAAGUCAUUUCAGAACUCACCUCAUUUAAGCCAAUCAACAAAACCAAAACAAAAAUGAUUGGGAAUACUCAGCAGGUCAGAUGGCAUCUGUGGAGGGAGAAAGAGAGUCAGAAAUUCAGAUUGAAAGUCUCAUUGUCUAGGUAUUGAAUGUAUAGACAGCCAUGGACUGGAUGGACUUUGAGUUCUUUUGACUUAUUCAAAUACAGUAUUUGAUUCACUAUUUUGUUAAUGCAAUUGUUUUUCAU